AAAGAAAGAUACCGAGGCUGAGGAUCAGAAAGAUACCGAGUCGGAGCGGUCCCGCUCAUCAUCGAAGAAGCCUGAGGA